UUCAACUUUUGGGGAAAAUGUAAGA
rnacentral:piRNA from 1 species